UACGAAGGGGCUAGCGUUGUUCGGAUUUACUGGGCGUAAAGCGCACGUAGGCGGAUCGUUAAGUCGGGGGUGAAUCCUGGAGCUCAACUCCAGAACUGCCUUCGAUACUGGCGAUCUUGAGUCCGGAAGAGGUGAGUGGAACUCCUAGUGUAGAGGUGGAAUUCGUAGAUAUUAGGAAGAACACCAGUGGCGAAGGCGGCUCACUGGUCCGGUACUGACGCUGAGGUGCGAAAGCGUGGGAGCAACAGGG
rnacentral:rRNA from 1 species